AAUGGCAGUUGCAACAACUGAUUCGGUUUGGAAAUCACGGCCUUCUGGCCUCUGAUUCGAAGUUUGGAACUAAUAAAUUAAAGUAUCCUAUUCGCAGUCUUGUUGUGUUCAACUCAGACAACAAGGCUAUACCGGUGGCAUGGAUAAUAACACCUAGAUUUGCAAGUGGAGAUACACUUAGAUGGAUGAGGGCCCUAUAUAACAGAGUUCAUAUGAAAGAUCCUACGUGGAAGUUGGCUGGAUUCAUUGUGGAUGAUCCUUCAGCCGACAUCCUUGCAAUCAGGGAAGUGUUCCAGUGCUCUGUAUUGAUAUGCUUUUGGCGGGUUCGUCAUGCAUGG
rnacentral:misc_RNA from 1 species